GACUCUUUAAAGUGCGUCAGAGGGAGGCGAACGCCUGGGAACCCGGAGGCCUGGAUCCGGGCCCAGAAUGGAACGGAGUCGGCGCCACUGCCCCGGCCGUGCCUCCAGCCGCCCGCCCGGCCGCCGACCUCUCGGUGUCUUCGCCCUGCGCUCCGGGCUAGCUCCCUCGCUCCCGCGGCGCCCGCUGCGGCUUCUCUCCUCCUCCUUCGCCUCCUCCGCUUCCCUCUUCUCCUCCUCUUCCUCGUUCCUCUCCUCCUCUUCCUCCUCCUCUUUCCCCCACCUCCUCCCCCUCAGCCACCGCCUCCUACUGCACCAACACCACUCCCUCCGGGGCACCCGGGUCCCUUCAGAGUCUCGGGGCUGCGCUGCCUUUGCUGCGGACCCCUGGAUCCUAAGCCUGCGGCGCUGGAGCUGAUGGGACUGAAGCACCGACGGACACGCAGAUUUCUUCACUCCCUAAGCUCCGCUGCGGCUGUCCCCUGGAGGCCCGCGCCCCGGUCACUGAGAUGGCUUUGGGCGCCCGGCGAGGAAGAGCCGAUGAGGCAGCUUCUCAGUCAGCACACAGUAUGUGCCCAGCUCUGAAUGGAAUACUGAUUCAGACAAUGGUGCCGCAGGGUGACAAGGCCCUCCAGGAAAACAAAAUAUAUGAACCAAAUGCUGAAGAAAGGAAGCCACGGUGUGGUCCAAAACUAACAAGUUGUUGUACAGCUUACAACCAUCUACCAUUCACCUGCUCAUCGGGACCUCAAGCAUCCUUGGCAGAUUUCCCUAUGCUAAGAAGGGAUAUCCUAAUGAUCCCUUACUAACUAGAACACAUCUCCAUAAGCACUGUCUCCAAGCCAGGACUCAUCCAUCAGCGCAGCCCCGUGGGAGGUGUGAAUAAAGGCAUCUUCGGAGAAGUGCAAAUAUGUUUUCGUCGUCACACAGGACCUAAGCUGAUCCAAUGGAGGUGAGCUGCGAAUGCUACAGCUUCAGGAGUAACCUCCAGUGACUGUUUUCAUUUCCAACCAGAUCAUCCCCAGGGCCUGUGACACGCCAGGCUCUAAAUGCCGAACAUGUCUUAAUCUCAUUUCUUCUCCCAACAACCCUUUGAUAGAGGAAGUCCUAUUUGCUCUACCGAGAGGGAAUCUGAGUCUAAGUUAAGUUCACUGGUAUAUUGUUGUGUUUCUCACCAGACUGCCUCUGGGUGGGACAAGCACUCUUCUGUUCCCAUGAUGCCAUGGCCCCUUAUAACUAUAGUUGUACUUGCUGCAAAGAUAGGGAAUCACUUCAUAAAAUAGCUGCACUGAGAUAUCCACAUAUUGUAUUAGUUAUGCAUUUAAAGUUUGUGUGAAAACCUUCAAUUGUCAAUUUGUAUUCUUUAGGAGACAUACUUCUGGGUGUGUCUGUGAGGAUGUUCCAGAGAGGUUUAACUGGGAUGGAAGGCCUGCUCUGAAUGUGGACGGCACCAUUCCAUGAACUAGUGUCCUAGACUGGAUGAAAAGGAAGAAGGAGGAAGCUGCCUGAGCCAUCGCUCGUCUCUGUUGUCUGAAUAUGUAAGCAGUGGCCUCAUUCCUCCCCAUGUAUUUCCUGAUGUGACAGACUGUGUCCCUCCAAACUGAGAGCCACAUGAUAGACUGUGUCCCUUCAAACUGUGAGCCAAGCAAACCUUCCUUCCUUUCUUAUGUUGCCAGGAGUUUUGCCACAGCAAUGAAAAAAAAAAAAAAACCCACAAGGUGAAAGUCAGUGGUUAACAUACAGGGAUGCAUGCAAGCCUCACCACAGCCAACCCAUGAUGGUGCCCAUCUCCUUAAGGGAAAGUCAGUGCCCUAUAAUGAUCAUUUCCCUCUGCUCCCUCCAUCAACCCAAAGCAACCACUAAUCCUUUUUUUUUUUUUUAAUCUUUAUGGAAUUACCUAUUCUACACAUUCCAUGUAAACAAAAGCACACAUAUGACUUUUUAUGUCUGUCCUCUUCCAAUCUCAUAAACAUUGCAGAAUGUAUCCAUACAUUACUGGGUGAAUAACAUUUCACUGUAUGGAUAAGCCACAUUAGGAAUGAUGUUUUGAUUCUCUUGAAAUACAGAUUAAUGUCUUUAUUCAACAAAUGAUGUGUGAUUAACAGAAACCUGUUAAGGAUUGUGAUUUCAGGGCCAUAAAUGCUUCAUUCCUCGGGUCCCUAGCAGUGCUGGGUUGUUUGUUUGCUUGUUGCUUGCUUGCUUGCUUGCUUGCUUUUAUCAAGAGGCUGUGGUGGACUUUAGUAAGAUUUUGUUUAUAAACUUUUCUACUUUUGUUGAUAUGAGGUGGAAAUCCAGAAUAUUAACAGGACUGAAGAAUCUUUCCAGGACUCCUUAGAAAUCACAGAAAUAGGAACUGAGGCGAGAUCUCAGUAAGUAAAUGCCUAGCAAUGAAUCUCCAGAGCUCCCACACAUUUGUAAUUCCAGCCCUGUGAAGGCAGAGGUAGUCCAAUCUCUGGGCUGACCCCAUGGAAAGUUUCCAAGUUCCAGGCCAAUGAGAAGCCGUAUCUCAAACAACAACAAAAAGUCAGAUGGAGCCUGAAGUACUACUAUGCCUGCAUAAAUCUAAACACAAAAAAGUAGCAGAAACAGACAGGAACAGCUGGGGCAACCAAUCCAGGAGCCAAAAGGCAAGCUUUAAACUCUAACUUUUCUCCUAGACUCAACAAAUGGACUCACUAAACAGGUCAUUGAAAAUGACCUUAAGGGGCUGGAGAGAUGGUUCAGUGGUUAAGAGCACUGACUGAUCUUCCAGAGGUCCUGAGUUCAAAUCCCAGCAACCACAUGGUGGCUCACAACCAUCUGUAGCAAGAUCUGAUGCUCUCUUCUGGUGUGUCUGAAGAAAGCUGUGGAAGGAGGGAGGAAAUGAAAUGAAAUGCCCUUAAUAUCAAGCUAUGAUAGCCUCCCAUCAAAAUACGCCAUGUUUCAGACCCACCCUUGGUUCUUGGGGCCAGAGCCCUGGAUCAAGGUUUUAAAGGUUGUUUUCAGUUAAUCAGGCAUUCAAUAGAGCUGGAGAACUAUUCCCUCCCUGCCCCACUAGAACCAUCUUGGGCUGAGAAGCGGCCUAGGGAACCAGAAGAAGGGGAUAACAGAGGGAAUUCUUGACCUAUUUAUCCCUCUCCAGAGUAAAACAUUCAGUUGGAAGACACUCACAUGCUGACUUUGAUUCAUUAGUUAAGGCUGUCUAGAGGGUUGUGCUGAGUAGAUUUUGAUCUGGGAUCAAUUAGCCAUGUCUGCACUGUGCAAAGGAGCAGGGUACCCCAUCUCCCUACACACGGCUACUCUCCACAGUACUCUCCCAAGGUCUCUUGGGCUUAGACAUCCUGCAAUCUUAUAAUUUCUCUCACCUUUGUUCUUUUCCUUGUCUUCUCUGAGAAUCUACUUUGAAGCCGUUCCCAUCCACCAGUAACAGUGACCUACAGUGGACUGUACAAACUUAAGAGGCAUGAAAGAGUGAGACUGUGACAUGUAAGUUGGAGACAGCCCAGGCUAGAGGAGGCUAGCUAUCCUAGAGAUGAGAAGUCAGUAUGAAAGGCUAGUCAACACAGAACCGAAUCUCACCGAAUAAAGCAGCUAACAUGGGUAAGGUGAUCACAUCAGGUUAUUCACCACGAGACAAACACAUGCUAUUGCUUCCAUCUACCCAGAUAGAUCAGGAAGGAUUGGGAAAGUAAACUCGGUCUUUAAUAGAAACAAAAGAACAAAAACAAAGGCUUUCAUAAGCUGAUAAGGCACUUGUGUAAGCACAAGAACCUAUGUUGGAACCCUAAAACUUACACAGAAAUGCCAGGUGUGGUGGCAUGUACUUCGAAUUCCAGUGCUGAGGAGACAAAGACAAACAGAUCCCUGGAGUGUGCUGGCCAGCUGGCCUAGUCAAAUCAGUGAGUUCCAUGCUAAGUGAGAGACUCUAUUUCAAAAACAAGGAGGUCAGCACCUGAGGAAGGAUACCAGAAGUUGAUCUCUGGCCUCUACAUGUGCACAGACACAUACACCAACAUGUGAACAUACCUGUGCAUACACACAGUUGCACUAAAGAAGUGUCAAGAAAGAUCUGGGAUAUAGCACAGUGGUUGGAAGAAUAGGAAAAGCAAAUAGAAUUUCAAGCCAAGGCAGACUGGACAGGUAUAGUGCCUCUGUCAGUGACUAAGAGGCUUAUCUAGUUCCUCCCUUGAGGGGUCCUUGAGACCCUAUGCUGCCCCGGUCCUAGGGGAUUGGGGAAUACCUGGCACUGAGUGAUCCUGCUUCCUCAAAACAACCCAGCAUCCCGCGUUCUCCACUCUGAGUACUGGGGGGCACCAGCCUGGGCCUGUGGACUGUUCAGAAACGGGCCCUCCCAUUAGCAGGGCAGCGGAUCGCUCUCUUACCACGGAGGCUCCGCGCUCACCAGUUCCAAUAACACGAUUAGUCAUUUUUCAUUCCUGAGAUAUCUGCCCAUGGGUGGGUGUGUGUGUGCAUGUGUGAGGGUGUCUGUGCCUCUCGUGGAGGGGAAAAUCCAUAGUCUCUCUCUUCUGCCCGAAUUAAUCAAAUAAAUCUUCUGUAAGAAGCUGCUAAAUGAGUCACAGAUGGCUCUGCCCUUUUACAGGUUACAGAAAGCACCCGUUACAGUCUUUUUAAUUUAUCAGAGGAAAAAAAGAUGCCCUCCUGUGCCCCUUCCCUCUCACAGUAAUAAUCAGAACCAGCCUAUUUUCCGAGGGUCCAAGACUCAUUUUCAAAAAAAAAAAAAAUGUGUAUCAAUAGAUGUAACAGUGGGAAGACUAUUUUGCCAAGUUCCAGCCUCCAGCACGGCAAAGGUGCCCUGGCUGGGGAGAGCAUUUAUAAAACCACAUUUAAUAAAAGAGAGUGUUAUAUUAA
rnacentral:lncRNA from 1 species